rnacentral:rRNA from 1 species
CUGUUAGAGAUAGGGGAGUGCCUUCGGGAGCUCUGAGACAGGUGCUGCAUGGCUGUCGUCAGCUCGUGUUGUGAAAUGUUGGGUUAAGUCCCGUAACGAGCGCAACCCUUAUCCUUAGUUGCCAGCGGGUCAUGCCGGGAACUGUAGGGAGACUGCCGGUGAUAAACCGGAGGAAGGUGGGGACGACGUCAAGUCAUCAUGGCCCUUAUGGGUAGGGCUACACACGUGCUACAAUGGCCGGUACAGAGGGCUGCGAACUCGCGAGAGUAAGCUAAUCCCAAAAAGCCGGUCCCAGUCCGGAUCGCAGUCUGCAACUCGACUGCGUGAAGUCGGAAUCGCUAGUAAUCGCGGAUCAGAAUGCCGCGGUGAAUACGUUCCCGGGCCUUGUACACACCGCCCGUCACACCAUGGGAGUGGGUUGCAAAAGAAGUAGGUAGUUUAACCUUCGGGAGGGCGCUUACCACUUUGUGAUUCAUGACUGGGGUGAAGUCGUAACAAGGUAACCGUA